rnacentral:rRNA from 1 species
UGGGGAAUAUUGGACAAUGGGCGCAAGCCUGAUCCAGCCAUGCCGCGUGAGUGAUGAAGGCCCUAGGGUUGUAAAGCUCUUUCACCGGUGAAGAUAAUGACGGUAACCGGAGAAGAAGCCCCGGCUAACUUCGUGCCAGCAGCCGCGGUAAUACGAAGGGGGCUAGCGUUGUUCGGAUUUACUGGGCGUAAAGCGCACGUAGGCGGAGUUUUAAGUCAGGGGUGAAAUCCCGGGGCUCAACCCCGGAACUGCCUUUGAUAAUGGAAGUCUUGAGUAUGGUAGAGGUGAGUGGAAUUCCGAGUGUAGAGGUGAAAUUCGUAGAUAUUCGGAGGAACACCAGUGGCGAAGGCGGCUCACUGGACCAUUACUGACGCUGAGGUGCGAAAGCGUGGGGAGCAAAAAGG